UACGUAGGGGGCGAGCGUUGUCCGGAUUUAUUGGGCGUAAAGAGCGUGUAGGCGGCCGGGUAGGUCUGCUGUGAAAACUCGAGGCUCAACCUCGAGACGUCGGCGGAAACCAUCUGGCUAGAGUCCGGAAGAGGAGAGUGGAAUUCCUGGUAUAGCGGUGAAAUGCUUAGAUAUCGUCAAGAACACCUAUAGCGAAGGCAGCUUACUAGGCUGUAACUGACGCUGAGGCACGAAAGCAUGGGGAGCGAACAGG
rnacentral:rRNA from 1 species